CCAUCUGGUGCCAUGGUCUAGUGGUAUGACGACACAUUGUGGUGUACGAUUCUGUGUUAGCCCCGGUUCGAUUCCGGGUGGCGCCAUUC
rnacentral:tRNA from 1 species